GUGUAAAAUGUAAUAACUAUGUCCUUACGAAUAAAAACAGUCGUAAUCCGAUUAUAUCAUCGUGUUUGUUUAUGUGCAAUAUAAAAAAACCUGGUCAUACAGUCCAGGUUUUUUUUGAU
rnacentral:sRNA from 1 species